rnacentral:lncRNA from 1 species
GAGUUGUGUGUGUGUAUAUAUUUAUUUGUAUCUAAAAAUCAAAUUUUAUGUUUUUUUGAUAUUGUUCUCUUGUCCAUCAAGUGGACACAAAAAUGAACGGCUGAAAUUGAACAUCCUUUAAAAAGUGAUGAUAGAAAUCUUGUAAUCAAAAUCAAGAGUAUAUAUAUCUUAUUUUUAAAUAGCUAAAGAAUUUUCUAACCAAAAUUCAAUUGAUUUAGAUAGUUUUUACGCCGUUAAACGAUAAACGCUUCAUAUGGCUAUUAAAAUUAUAAAUUUUGAAACCCUUUAAUUAUUGAGUCAAUGCUGUUGAAAAAAAUUAAAAUUUAGUUUUUAAAUCUUCAAUUGGUAUAGAUUAUAUUCAACCGUGCUGAUUGUUAAUUUGGAGACUUUUAUAAUCGAAAAUAAAUAGGCGGCAAUGGAGUCCGUUUGCUACUGAUAACAUACCAGCUCAGCUCUUUCUCUCUCUAUAUAUAUAUA